rnacentral:rRNA from 1 species
UGAACGCUGGCGGCGUGCUUAACACAUGCAAGUCGAACGGAAAGGCCAGUGCUUGCACUGGUGCUCGAGUGGCGAACGGGUGAGUAACACGUGGGUGAUCUGCCCUGCACUUUGGGAUAAGCCUGGGAAACUGGGUCUAAUACCAGAUAGGACCAUGCUUUGGAUGGUGUGGUGGAAAGUUUUUUCGGUGUGGGAUGAGCUUGCGGCCUAUCAGCUUGUUGGUGGGGUAAUGGCCUACCAAGGCGUCGACGGGUAGCCGGCCUGAGAGGGUGUACGGCCACAUUGGGACUGAGAUACGGCCCAGACUCCUACGGGAGGCAGCAGUGGGGAAUAUUGCACAAUGGGCGCAAGCCUGAUGCAGCGACGCCGCGUGGGGGAUGACGGCCUUCGGGUUGUAAACUCCUUUCGCAACUGACGAAGCUUUUUGUGACGGUAGGUUGAGAAGAAGCACCGGCUAACUACGUG